rnacentral:rRNA from 1 species
GGGUGCGAUCAUACCAGCACUAAUGCACCAGAUCCCAUCAGAACUCCGAAGUUAAACGUGCUUGGGCGAGAGUAGUACGAAGAUGGGUGACCUCUUGGGAAGUCCUCAUGUUGCACCCC